GCCUGGCUAGCUCAAUCGGUAGAGCGUGUGACUCUUACUUCUAGCAAGUUGGUCGUCCAUCACAAGGCUGCGGGUUCGAGCCCCGCGUCGGGCU